rnacentral:lncRNA from 1 species
UCUACCCACAAACACCAAUACACAUUCUUUUCAGGAAUCUAACUUUGGCAUCAGAGAAUCUUCGCCCAAUGCCCCCCCCCACUUCAUUGUGGGUGCGUGGGGCUUUUGGCCUUAAUCUUAGGUGUUAUUAUUUUGUAGUUGCAUUUUCGUCAAAGGAGAAGAUGGCGGAAAUUUGCAUUCACAAACACCAUUGAUGACGACCAUGGACUCACCAUCCCUCUGUAGCUUUAUGACAAUUCUGAAAGGAUUCUAAAAUAAACAUGACGAGUUUGACGAAAAAGAUGAAGCAAAAUUUCCACCAAGCCUGUCAAAUAAUAUUUUCGCCAAUUCGUUGCUCUCCUUUAAUUCAAAUUUCCACACCUAUACAAAUGUUAACCCUCAAAUCUUCUAUCACAUGGCCUGGAGGUUCCUCCUAGCUUCAAUUUUUAGCUUCGCCGUUGCUUCAUUAAAUAGCUAAAUAUGAAGACAAACUACGAGCAUCCUGUGACGGCCAAAUUUAAAGUCAAAAUUGCGGACGACGAUGCGAGUAACGGUCAAACUGCGUUGAGAUCUAGAGACGUUAAAUGACAAGAUAUAGGUACCAAAAACCACAAUGUCCAAUUUUAUCGUUAGGAUUGGAAUUCUAGAAACCAUGAAGUCCAGCUAUUGUUAUGUUUUAGUUCAAACAAAAAUCACUCGAAGAAUGGGUUAAAGCAAUUAGUUUCCAUCCAAUGGUUUAUUACGUAACAGAAAAACAAAAACAAAAGGUACAGAAGACUGGGCUCCUAAAUUUAGACCUAUACCCUUCUUGGGUUGCAUAUAUAUAUCAUACUCCAUGCAUUCAUUUCUUAGCCCCAAGCAAAUAAUUUGUAAUCACGGUAGCUUCAAUUUAAAAACAUACAUCUUGAGCGAUGGCCACCUCAAUCAGUUAUGCAUUCAUUGCUUCCAUGCUCUUAUGUCUCUCGUCGUCUCCAGCGCCAUUUGCAAAUGCAAGAGUGUCUCAAUUAGUUAGGAGUGUUUGCAAGCAAACCCAAGAACAAUUCGGCUACAACUAUAGGCAGUGCGUAAAAUCUCUUUGGAAAGAUAUUCCAAUUAGAUCGGCAACUAAUCUCAAAGAUCUUGACAAAGCCGUUCCUAAAUUAGCAGCAGCAAAUGCGGCACAAACCAAAGCUACGUUUGAAAAAGCUUUAAACGCCACCGACAAGAAUGCUAAUGGCACGACAGCUAUAAAGCAGUGUGUAGAUUCGUAUGAUUUUAAGUUAGGAACGUUCGUUUUCGCAGUGCGAGGGGUCAAUGACGGUGACAAAUCGGUCACCGAAAUCCUCACACAGGCCCAAGAUGACCUUGUUCGUUGCCAAAGAGCAUUGGCCACUGUUGAAGUUCCGCUUCCUAUGCCAGUAUCAACGACGAACUUUUGGGUCUUGUUAUAUAGGGAUGUUGCAUUCCUUGUUACUUCCCAGUUAUUCAAUAUCUAGAAAAAGAUAUGAGAGUAGUGUAUUGAAAUUUGAAAAUACACGCGUACCAAAGAAAUGUAUCUGUGAUUACUAUAAAUAAAAAGGAUAGAAAUUUGAAGAAAUGAAAAAAAUUUGAUAUGAAUAACGAAUAUCAAUCGUUUAUUGGCAUUGUUGUGUUCCUCUUUAGUUUGGAUUUCUUAUCAUGCAUUCACUUUACUAUGCAUUGGCUUUAACAAAGUUGAAAUGAUGGUACAUGUAUUUUCAUUCAAACUUGACAUCCCCGUAUCAGUCCAAAUACAGGUUCUAACUUAUUUCAUUCACCAUUCGAUUCAUGCAACUUGUGUUUCUUUAUUCAAUGGGUGGGGAGAUUUGAACUUGAAAUUUUUUUAAGAAUUUGGAAGACAACAAUUAAUGCGCAUCCAAUUUUUUCUUCUUUGCACCCAUGUCUGUCUUAUAGCCCACAUUGUUUUAUGACCUUUCCUUCUAAGACUGCCUCCUUUGACUAAUGACAUUCUUUUCAAGAAUGCAAAAUCCUCGAUCAUGGUCGGCAUAUGAUUACGUAGAGCUUGCUCGAGUCGCUCUUGAGUUAGCAGCAACGAAUACAAAAGAUAGGCACAGCUUUAUAAACAUUUAAUCAAGAGGGAUUCGAGGGAGCCUAUUUAACAAUAUCAGUUUUUGUACCGCACGGUGGUGGUUUUAUUCUAGUGGCAUACAUGAGGACAAGGAUAGGCCUGGGCCUCUCCAUCAUUUUCUUUAUUUUGUAUGUUUUAGCUUGGGUUUGUUAUUCUUUAAUUUCUGUUUGUGUGCUUUCCAUUGAGCACGAUGUAGUUAAAUCACCAGUUGGCGUGCAUAGUGUUGUUUAAAAAGUUUAUAUUGAAAAACAGAAUCACAUUUGCAUUUUUGAUCCAUGAUCUUUAAUGCUUGUUCAACUUCGAUGUAGUAAUCGUUUCUUUUUAGCACAACUUUUGAGCAAGUUCGGUGCUUAUGGUAUUAUUGUCUCAGUGUUAAAUUAUUAUUUUCGUGACUUCAUUGCUCUCAGUUGAUUCAAAUUUCACAAAAGUUAACCGAUAAGAUUUUUAACGUCUAUGCAAGUCAAAAUCACUUGAAAUACUUGCAAGAAUACAAGGAUGUUGUAGUAUAGAUGCUGAUGCAAGGUCGUUCUCCUCAAUGACUAUUUGGAUAAUUUAUGUAGAAACAAUUUCUAAUCAAAUACUUAGAAUUAAAAAUUGAGAAAAGAGAUUAUGAAAUUGGGUAAUAUUAAAAACAAAUUCUAAUUAAAAACUAAUAUGACAAAAGAAAAGAGUUUUAAAUAUCAAUUUAUAAAAGCACUAGGGUUCCACCAUCACCUAGCAAUCCUAUGUAUUCUUACCAAUUACUUAUGAUCUACACAUGCACUUUGAAGGUUAGUUUUCCUAAUUUAUAUUGUACUUGGAACCUCCAACAUAGAAUGUAUAUCUAACAUGCAACUCAUAUGGACGUUUGGAUCAAAUCUGAACAUGAAAGACUCAUUAUGCUUUAUGAAAACCCUUUGAAAAACCAUCCAACCCUUAAGACGUGGUGUUCAUCCUAAGUGAAAUUACAAUUAUUAAUCACAAGAAGCCAGCGUCAAUUUCAGGGAAUCUUCCAACCAAAAUUGCAUCAAAUUACUUUUCUAAAGAUCCUAAUGGUGAUCAAGCAUUAAGACAAUUAGAUCAUUUUAAUCACGGUGAUCAAUAAUUCAAAGUAUGCAUGCAAUCAAUCAUAAGCAAUUAAAUAAAAAUCACAUAUUCAUGCUAAGGCUCAAAGCUUCGCCCUAGCAAAGCGGAAAUUAGUUACACAUAUUCAUAAUUGAAAACAUAGAAAAUAUUAUUAGAAUGAAUAAGAAUGAAAACACCUUUUAUUAGAAUGAAUAAGAAUGAAAACACCUUGAAUUGGAAAAUCUGAAAGCCUUUGAAAACCCUAGCAAGUUCUUUGUCUCCAAAGUUAAUUAAAAGUAAGCGUAGGAAAAACUAAGAACGGCAAAGCAAUAUAUUUGCUAAGCCAUCGCACAAAUCCUAAAACAUAGGUCUCUUACUCCAACUAGGAAACUAAAUAAUAAUAAAAUAUCUUACAAAAUAAAAUCCGAAUAAAACUAAGAGAAUCUGCCAAGCACUUGUCCAGCCACGGUUUAGCCUCAGAUAUCCUCCAAAUCCAGCCCACAAUAGCUUGUUUUAAAGACUAGGACGUUCUGAACACAUCUAUAGAAGGCCACGAACCCAUCUGAGGUCAUCUUCGGCUCCAAAAACGCAAUUCAAACCCAGAACGUCACUAUUCCAGCAACACGCAAUCCUUCUUUAUUUUAUUGCCAGAAAAUAACCGCUGGGUGGAAAAAUCUAAUAUUUUGAUACGAUCAAGCUAACUGACUCACGAACGUCCUCCAACUGGAAUUACUCCAAAAUUCCUCCAUUUGACCAUGUUUUGCUCCAGAGAAAGUCGAAAGUCUUAUAUUGGAAAUAUAAUUCAUAGUAUCAAAAUUCUUCCAAAAUAUACUAAGAAAAGGGUUAAAUAUAUAAUUUAAAAUCUACUCAUCAUUAACCCUCAAAUCUUCUCUCAUUGAUCGUAUUAUUUUUAAUCUAAUUUCUGUCACAUGGCCUGGAGGAUCCGCCUAACUUCGAUUUUUGGCUCCACCACUGCUUCAUUAAACAGCUAAAUAUGAAGACAUACAACGAGCAUCAUGUGAUGGCCAAAUUUAAAGUCAAAAUUGCGUGCGACGAUGAGAGUAACGGUCAAACUGCAUUGAGAUCUAGGGAGGUUAAAAACCACAAUGUCCAAUUGUAUCGUUAGGAUUGGAAUUCUAGAAAUCAUGAAGUCCAUAUUUUGUUGUGUUUUAGUUCAAACAAAAAUCACUAGAAGAAUGGGUUAAAGCAAGUAAUUUCCAUCCAAUGGUUUAUUACGUAACAGAAAAACAAAAACAAAAGGUACAGAAGACUGGGCUCCUAAAUUUAGACCUAUACCCUUCUUGGGUUGCUUAUAUAUAUCAUACUCCAUGCAUUCAUUUCUUAACCCCAAGCAAAUAAUUUGUAAUCACGUUAGCUUCAAUUUAAAAGCAUACAUCUUGAGCGAUGGCCACCUCAAUCAGUUAUGCAGUGUUCAUUGCUUCCAUGCUCUUAUGUCUCUCGUCGUCUCCAGCACCAUUUGCAAAUGCAAGAGCAUCUCAAUUAGUUAGGAGUGUUUGCAAGCAAACCCAAGAACAAUUCGGCUACAACUAUAGGCAGUGCGUAAAAUCUCUUUGGAAAGAUAUUCCAAUUAGAUCGGCAACUAAUCUCAAAGAUCUUGACAUAGCCGUUCUUAAAUUAGCAGCAACAAAUGCAGCACAAACCAAAGCUACGUUUGAAAAAGCUUUAAACGCCACCGACAAGAAUGCUAAUGGCACGACAGCUAUAAAGCAGUGUGUAGAUUCGUUUGAUUUUGCGUUAGGAGCGUUC